CUACAUAUCAUAAUGUUAAAGAAAUGUAUGUUAGAAGAAAAAUAUGUUAAAGAAAUUCUUGGAAUUUGAUUUAUCGCGGCACAACGACAUAGGGGAAAACAGCCUUAGAGCAAAGCGACAUGAUAUGUCUCGCGAAAGACCAACAAAACCGUUGCGCGGCCAUCUUGGUUACGCUCGAGCAAGAUUCACUCGAGUAGAAUAGUGACGGAGUUAAGAGGCGCGACGAUCUUGAAACAGCUUAACUGGCGUCUCGUCGAGUAGAUUAUUCGACAACAGUUUCUUGUUAAGUUGAAUUUUACGGUCAAACUGCAAACGGCCUGUGACGCAACAAAGAAAAUCGUUGCGCUGUUAACGAGUUCCGGUGUACUUUCGAUACAUUUAUUUUUCGUUGCUCAUCCGCGACGCUCAAGGUGGUUGAGAUUAACAUUUAAUUCCGGUCGCCUACGGUUACAAGAUAUUGUCCAAGUAUUUCUUGUUGCGCUAAAAUAUAUUUUUUGAUAUUGAAAUUUCUUCCAGUAACGAUUUUGAUCUGAGCAAUUAGCGUCAUAAUCUGCUUGAGAGCAAAAAAGAAGAAAAGAAGUGUAUGUAUUGUUGCGAUGGCAUGAUAUAUUAACACUUUCUGUACGGCGCUAGUUUUAGAUAACUUGUUCAUUACGCCGUGUGAGUCACCAAUGAUCUAUUUCUAGUUGUGUUCAUUGUACUUUGUUAAAUACAAUAUAAUUAUUAAAAAUUAUAAAAAUAAAAAAAGCUUGCUAACAUUGCAUCGUAUAUCAUAAUUAUGACAUUAGAAAUUGUUUUAUAAUCACGUUACUUUUUAUAGCUAAAAUAUCAAAUAGCCUGAACGGAAAGUUCAGCAUGGGUUCCCAGGGAUUCACGAGGCAUGAAAUUCAUCAUUUUCAAGUCUUCGAGUGACGUUAAUUAUUCCGGGACUCUUUCGGGAAUCGGCGUAAAAAUUCCCUCGAAGAGAUAAUUUAGCGGAUUUAUUUUGACGCGCGCAAAUUCGGCAUCCGCGGUAUGCUUAACGGGUUUAGGUAAUGUAUUUAUUACAAUUGCGAAUUGCAGCGAUCCUGUCGGACGAGAGAGCUGAUUCUAGCGCGAGCGUAAAUCACGCGACGCAUGUUUGUUCGGUAUGCCGACAACGUGUCCACGCGACGAUACCGCUAUCGCGUAAAGAAAGAUCGAAAUGGGAUAACGAUGUGUGCAAUGCAUCACUCGAAUUCUUCCCUGUGUUUAUGACAUAACGUGAUGUUCCCAACACUUCUUAUUAUUGUGUGGAUAACUAGUCUCUCGAGAUAUUUUGACGUCUUUAUCGGUGCGCGGGAGCAAAAAAGAAAAAAAAAAUCAAAUCGUUACACCGUCUUGACGUGCUUUUGACGGUACUCUUACAUUACAUGUUUUUAUAAGUGACACCACAUGCCGGCGGCAGUCUUUUGUGCCACCACUGGGAGUAGUUGAAAACGUAAUUCUGUUACCCGAGAGUUUUGUUUCAUUAAACGCUUUAAUAUCUUUGAUACUAAUCUUAAAAUCAUUCGCGAAUAAACUAUAAUAUUCUUAUGUAAUUACUUAUUGUAUUAAAAUAAUUAUUGACUUUCUUCUGAUUAUUAAUAAGAAUGAAACUAGUAAUUAUUAUAAAUACUAAUAUCCUUUAGAAUUACGUUAGUAUCAAAAGGUGAAUACUAAAUUUUUAUUUAACAAAAAUUAAUUUAAAAACUUCUUUAGUGCGUAGCAAACCAUAGAUAAUAGCAAAUCAUUAAUUUUAUUUGCAAAUUAUUUAAUUUUGUUUUAAAAUAAAUAUUGGAAUAAUUGAUUAAUUAUAUUAACAAAUAAAUUAUAAAAUAAAUAAUACAGUUCUUUUCGAAAUUAUAUGAUUUUAAUUUUUUUUUAAACAUGGAAAUUAUCAUCAAAAUUAAUUCAUUACUUUGAUAUAAAAUGUAAAGAACAGUAUAUUCAAUGAAUAUAUCUUAUAGUGUUAAAUAAUUUUUGCGGCAAUGAAUUGGUUGGUGUACACUCAGCCCUCGGUUCUAGUUGUUUUUGUCUUUUGCGGUGUACGCCGCCACCGCACUGUAUACACGUGGUUUAUUGUCAUUUCGAACGAUGAGAUUUCAGUGGUUAGGGAGCGUUAUGUGUCGUAUUGUCCAUCGAAAUGCGAUCACGAGAAGUACUAGAGAAUAAUAGGCGCGAAUUGUCAAUUAAUUAAUCCCACAAUUAAUGGCAAGCGUAUAGAGACGAUAUUUGGAUUUCGUGAGAUUCUCAUUGAGAUAUUUCAAAGCGUGAAUCAAGUGACAUUAAAACAUGUUUAAUUAAAUGAAUACCAUUUUACUUAAUAUUAUAUCUUAAUACAUAUCGAAUGCCGUUAUCAUAAAUUAAAUUUGCAGUUUAAAAUGACUCAUAAGAAUCUCUUCAUCGUUUAAUAAUUUGCAAGACAAUGUCGAAUAUAUCAUACUUAUUCGUAUAAUCUUCCCUCGUAUUAUUAAAGCGCGCGUUGCGAUUAACGUGAGAAUGUGCAAAGUGCCGCGCGAUUAUGAUAUCUCAGUCAUUAGUGUGUGAUCGUAAUCGACUAUAUUUUCGCGAGAUAAAAGAAAGUAAAAGAAUAAGAGAAAAGACAAAGAUCGGGCAUCAGAGCGCGUGAAACAUUUAUGAAAUAAAUAACGUAAUUUAUUAUUUAUUAUUUUAUUUGUAAAAUUGACAAUUAUUUAAUGCGCGAAAAAAAUAAUUUUCUGAAAUGUUGAUUUACUUGGAGCGUUCCUAUAAUUUGAAUAUAUUUAUGUUUUACAGAUCAACGUAGUUGCAAAGUCCACAACUCCUGCAAAUGCUGCACAUCGUACUGGGGAACUCUAGUUCGCGCUGGUAACAGUAUCCACCUCCGAGUUAACCGACGUUUUCGCCACUGUUCAUAUUUGCAAUCCAUACGAAUCGGAUACAGCGGCGUGGCUUUUCGCAGUGCUGCAACAUUGAUGGCGGUAAGUGGCACAAAUUAUACAAAGAAUUUCGUCAUACAGAAAGAUAAGACGUUUGAAGCAAAAAAAAAAAAGGUAUAGAGAAUAAAGGCAAAAAAGGUGUGAAAGACGGGAGGAUUCCGAAAGUAUAAGCCGUGUCACCCCGUUUGGCUGCUGGUAGGCGGAAUUUGCGUAAUCCCGCGUGCGCCUUUUCGCCGCGGCGCGCCGAAAAGG